UACGGGGGGAGCAAGCGUUGUUCGGAUUUACUGGGCGUAAAGGGCGCGUAGGCGGCCUGUGCAAGUCAGUUGUGAAAUCUCCGGGCUUAACUCGGAACGGUCAACUGAUACUGCUCGGCUAGAGUGCGGUAGGGGAGACUGGAAUUCCUGGUGUAGCGGUGAAAUGCGCAGAUAUCAGGAGGAACACCGGUGGCGAAGGCGGGUCUCUGGGCCGAUGACUGACGCUGAGGAGCGAAAGCUAGGGGAGCGAACGGG
rnacentral:rRNA from 1 species